ensembl:lncRNA
ACUGGAGGGAUCUGACCUUGGAGGUUGCAUUUCAGAUUCUCCUGAUGGCUAGGGAGACAGUUCUAGGGGUCUUGUAGGCAUAACUCUGUACUUACUCACUAAAAAGUAAACUAGAAGUUCAAGUCUUCCUUCCUUCCUGAGAGACAGUGUUUGUUGAAAUACUGAGUGAAGGGACUUCCCUGCUGAUCCAGUGGUGAAGACUACCCACUUCCACUGCAGGGGGAACAGGUUUGAUCCCUGGUUGGGUAACUAAGAUCCCAUGUGCCACACAGUGUGGCCAAAAGAACAAAAAGAAUAGUACCUGGAACAAAUGAAAAGAGUAUCCAGUGUUUUAAAAAAGAGAGAAAAAAAAAAAGAAAUACUGAGUGAAUAAACAAGCAAACAGAAGCUAUUUGCUGAAGCUAAGGAGAGAGAGAGGAUAUGGCCCUCACUUUGGAAGAGGAAUAGCCUUCAGUGGCCAUCUGUACAUAGGCCUGGAAGUAAACUACAGUGCCAAGGCCCAGAAGACCUGUUCUGAACUUUCCAGUUGCCUGGAUAUGUAGACUGGUCAGUUCCUUUCAUUGCCUAAUAAAUGAAUAACAAGAAUUCCUCUGCCUCAUCUCACAAUAACAAAUAAUGGUAUUUGCUAAAUAACAGCAAUCUGACCUAAUAAAAGAGCUUCCAAGAAAGUCACCUGUGACUGCACCACGCCAGCCUCUGCACUGGCAUUGUGACAAUAAUGGAUGACAAUACUUAGUGAAAACAUAUUUGGACAUCCACUAAGACCACCACCAGGAAAAAAAAAAACUAUCAAAAAACACCAAAACAAGGGUUUCCCUGGUGUCUCAGUGGUAAAUAAUCCACCUGCCAAUGCAGGAGACAUGAAUUCGAUUCCUGAUCCAGGAAGAGCCCACAUCCUGCGAAGCAACUAGCCUGUGUGCCGCAACUAUUAAGCCUGUACUGUAGAGCCAGGGAACAACAGCUAAUAAGCCCAUGUGCUGCAACCACUGAAACCCACAUACCCUAGAACCCGUGCUCUGCAGCAAGAGAAGCCAUCACAAUGAGAAGCCCUUGCUCUGCAACUAGAGAAAAGCCUGUGCAGCAAUGAAGACCCAGCGCAGCCAAAAGUAAAUAAAUUAUAAAACCAAAAAAAGUGUUGGCAAGAUACGGAGAAACCGGAACCCUUGUGCACUGUUGGUGGGAACGUUAAAUAGUGCACCUGCUAUGGAAAAUAGAAUGGAGAUUCCUCAAAAAAAUUACAAAUAGAAUUACUGUAUGAGCUAGGAUUUCCACUUCUGGGUAUAUACUCCCAAAAACUGAAAGCAGGUACUGGAAGAGCUAUUUAUAUAUUACAUUCAUAGCAGCAAUUAUUCACCAUAGCCACACUCUGGAAGUGACCCAAGUGUCCACUGACAGAGGAACGGAUAAACAAAAUGUGGUAUAUACAUACAAUGACAUAGUAUUCAGUCUUUAAAAGGCAGAAAAUUUUUAUACAUGCUUCAUGAUUGAACCUGGAGGGACAUUAUGCUAAGUGAAAUAAACCAAUCACAAAAGGAUAAAUACUAUAUGAUUCCACUUAUGUGAGGUUCCUUGCAGUAGUCAAAUUCAUGAAGACCGGAAGAAGAAUGGUGGGUACCAGGGCUGAGGAGAGAGGGAAUGGGGAUUAGUGUUUAAGUAUAAUGUUUAGUUGAAAAUAUUCUGGAGAUGUGAAUGUACUUAAUGGUAUGCUUUCUUUUUUAACUACCAACAACAUUCAGGGGGGAAAGGGUGGCAUGACAUGGAAGAGAAAAUAUAACUUGUUUAACGCUUUACUGGCGGACUGUGCUAUUCUUUUCCCUUAGGGAAGCCAGAGUUUACAAGAGGAGACAUUCAGGAGGCAACAGUAAAGGUUUGGUUUGUUUGUUUAUGGACUGUGGCUUCAGUUGGUUAUUAACAGGCUGCCUGUGACAGGGAUUGAAGUCUAUUUUACAAUGGUCUUGGCCUUUCCCAUAAGGAUCCUGAGCUCUACUUCUGAGAGUCCUAUGCUUCCAACAAAUGUUCAUAGAUUUAAAUGGAACGAUCUGAGUUACCCUCAGUUAUUUGACUUAAGUCUUGAGCCCGCCCCUUCCCCAUCCCCACCA